UGGGGAAUAUUGCACAAUGGAGGGAACUCUGAUGCAGCGACGCCGCGUGAACGAAGAAGGCUUUCGAGUCGUAAAGUUCUUUUAUAUGGGAAGAUAAUGACGAUACCAUAAGAAAAAGCCCCGGCUAACUACGUGCCAGCAGCCGCGGUAAUACGUAGGGGGCUAGCGUUGUCCGGAAUCACUGGGCGUAAAGGGUUCGCAGGCGGAAAUGCAAGUCAGGUGUAAAAGGCAGUAGCUUAACUACUGUAAGCAUUUGAAACUGCAUAUCUUGAGAAGAGUAGAGGUAAGUGGAAUUUUUAGUGUAGCGGUGAAAUGCGUAGAUAUUAAAAAGAAUACCGGUGGCGAAGGCGACGUACUGGGCUCAUUCUGACGCUGAGGAACGAAAGCGUGGGUAGCAAACAGG
rnacentral:rRNA from 1 species